AGAGUUUGAUCCUGGCUCAGGAUGAACGCUAGCUACAGGCUUAACACAUGCAAGUCGAGGGGCAGCGGGAAGUUAGCUUGCUAACUUUGCCGGCGACCGGCGCACGGGUGAGUAACGCGUAUCCAACCUUCCCCUUAGUAGGGCAUAGCCCGGCGAAAGUCGGAUUAAUACCCUAUGUUUUCCUAUGAGGCCAUCUGAGCAGGAACAAAGAUUUAUCGCUAAGGGAUGAGGAUGCGUCUGAUUAGGCAGUAGGCGGGGUAACGGCCCACCUAGCCGACGAUCAGUAGGGGUUCUGAGAGGAAGGUCCCCCACAUUGGUACUGAGACACGGACCAAACUCCUACGGGAGGCAGCAGUGAGGAAUAUUGGUCAAUGGGCGUAAGCCUGAACCAGCCAAGUAGCGUGCAGGAUGACGGCCCUACGGGUUGUAAACUGCUUUUGUACGGGAAUAAAGUGAGGGACGUGUCCCUUUUUGUAUGUACCGUAAGAAUAAGGACCGGCUAAUUCCGUGCCAGCAGCCGCGGUAAUACGGAAGGUCCGGGCGUUAUCCGGAUUUAUUGGGUUUAAAGGGAGCGCAGGCUGGCCUUUAAGCGUGACGUGAAAUGUCCCGGCUCAACCGGGGAGUUGCGUCGCGAACUGGAGGUCUUGAGUGAGUGCGAGGUACGCGGAAUUCGUGGUGUAGCGGUGAAAUGCUUAGAUAUCACGAAGAACCCCGAUUGCGAAGGCAGCGUACCAGUCCUUAACUGACGCUAAAGCUCGAAGGUGCGGGUAUCGAACAGGAUUAGAUACCCUGGUAGUCCGCACGGUAAACGAUGGACACUCGGGAAUUUGCCCCUUUGUGGGUGAGUCCCCCCACCAAAAGCGUAAGGUAUCCCCACCGGGGGAGUACCCGGCCACGGGGAAACUCAAAAGAAUUGACGGGGGCCCGCACAAGCGGAGGCACAUGUGGUUUAAUUUGAUUGAUACGCGAAGAACCUUACCCGGGCUUGAAUUGCAGGCGACGGGGCGAGAGAUUGCCCUUUCUUCGGACGCCUCUGAAGGUGCUGCAUGGUUGUCGUCAGCUCGUGCCGUGAGGUGUCGGCUCAAGUGCCAUAACGAGCGCAACCCCUGUCUCCAGUUGCCAUCAGGUGAUGCUGGGCACUCUGGAGAUACUGCCAUCGCAAGAUGUGAGGAAGGUGGGGAUGACGUCAAAUCAGCACGGCCCUUACGUCCGGGGCUACACACGUGUUACAAUGGGGGACACAGAGGGCCGCCACCGGGUGACCGGGCGCCAAUCCAUCAAAAUCCCUCUCAGUUCGGACUGGAGUCUGCAACCCGACUCCACGAAGCUGGAUUCGCUAGUAAUCGCGCAUCAGCCAUGGCGCGGUGAAUACGUUCCCGGGCCUUGCACUCACCGCCCGUCA
rnacentral:rRNA from 1 species